CAGCAGCCGCGGUAAUACGUAGGGUGCGAGCGUUAAUCGGAAUUACUGGGCGUAAAGCGUGCGCAGGCGGUUUUGUAAGACAGGCGUGAAAUCCCCGGGCUCAACCUGGGAAUGGCGCUUGUGACUGCAAAGCUAGAGUGCGGCAGAGGGGGAUGGAAUUCCGCGUGUAGCAGUGAAAUGCGUAGAUAUGCGGAGGAACACCAAUGGCGAAGGCAAUCCCCUGGACCUGUACUGACGCUCAUGCACGAAAGCGUGGGGAGCAAACAGGAUUAGAUACCCCAGUAGUCCCUGUCUCUUAUAC
rnacentral:rRNA from 1 species